UUUGCUGAGUUGGCCCAGACAGGGAUGAACUACCUGUCAUGGUCCUCGGACUGCGAGAUCUUUCUCCAGGGCAGAACCCUCCUGAGGGCGAUCGGUAAGGGGGCCCAGCUAGCCGCCACUGAUCCCAAGUUCGAAACUGAGAAUGCGCAGGCUCUGCACUUUCUCCGUCAUCACCUGUCACCUACUCUGAAAGAUGAGUAUAUGGCUGAGCGCAGUGCUUCUGGCCUUUGGACCGCUCUUAAGUAGCGGUUUGAGCGGCUGAAGUACACUGUGAAGCCACGUGCAGAGGCAGAGUGGAUCCGUCUGAGGUUUGCGGACUUCAAGACGAAGAUUGAGAAAACCCUAUCCACUUUCCACCCCGACGCGGUCCAGUCCUCACGGAACUACCGCCAGGGGAACUACACGAGGUAUUCAGAGUUGAUUGACGUCCUCCAGGUGGCGGAGGCGCAGGAUGAGGUUCUCAAAAAGAACUUUGUCGCGCAACCACUUGGGGGGAGUUCUCGCCAGGAGGUGAACGCUCUCAAAGUCCACUUAGAAGAAGAGGGGUCGCAAGGGCAAGAAGAAGCUCCGGUUAAGCAAAACAAGGCGGGCAAGGGAGGGCAGAGGCCUCAGGACUGCUUCCGUUGUGGCUCGGUGGAGCAUUUCUCCCGCCAGUGUCGCGCACCACCGGGGGUCGUUGAAGCAUAA
rnacentral:rRNA from 1 species